UGACCAUUGACGAGGCAUUAUUACUCUUAUCAAAUAGUUUACGGCGCAGCCCAGUCAGUGUAGUACUAUUAUUGCUUUGAAGACGGGCCGGCCUGAUUUGUUGUACCUGGUUUGUGGGAAAUCUCUCAGUUUCUUCGUUUACGUACGGCAGAUUGAAGGAAGGAAAGGAGAAAAGGUGCUGAGAAGGGAAGGGAAAGCAAAGUGCAAUUAUGUGAGUUAUGACGGAGUGUGUGUGUGUUGGAUUUGUCAAGUAUACGCUGAUGUCAAAAGAGUGUUAGAAGCUAUUGAAGGGAACGGAAGACAGGAGUGCUUUCUGUUUGAUGAAGAGAGUGUUUUAGUGAAUGUAAGGGAAGGACUAUGGCAGCAGAGUGACUGUAUAUACUCUAUCAUUACCUCUUACAAACACAAAUGAAAAGAAUGCCUAUAAACGGAAACAAGAGGCAUCAAAACGAUUACCAUAUAUAUAAACAGAGUAAACAGAGGCACCAGCUGUAAUGUUAGAGUUCCCUUGUACAUACAAAGUGUGUAAUACAAGAAUACCCUUUGAAACAACACAAUAUUCAUGGAAACGCAGAACGAAAAAGUAAAAUAUGAAAAAAAACGAGACUGUAGUGACGAGGGUGAGGGGAAGGACGUAAUAUGGAAAGUGUGAUGACAUGAAUGGAAGCCGAAUGAAAAACUAUCAGCCAGUUAAUUAGUGUUGAAGGGAGUGUCAGGUGAAGAGAAAUGUGAUACGGCAACACAUGGAAAACUGAGUGGAGGAAAAACAGAAGUGCUUUUAGAGUAGAUUAGGUAUAGCGCUGGAUAAAGGGGGAUGGAGGGAGUGAAAGAGAGAGAUGAGAGAUAGGAAAAGAGAAAACAAACAAAAUAUAGAUAAAAAAAUGAUUGAAAGAUUUGGUUGAAUGCAAGUUGAUGGUGUGUGUGUUGUGAGGGAGUUAGUUUAUCAGAGGAUUUCAGAACGUGAGUGGAAGAAAGAGAAAGAAAAGAGAUAAAAAGGAAACAGGGAAUACAACAGAAUAAGAAAAACAGGAAAAAAUAACAAGUGUGAAAAAGAGAAAUAUUGCUUAGUAAGAGUGAAAGAAAGAGAAGGAAAGAGAUAAAGGGGAAAAAAGGUGAGAAAUAUAAAAAAAUGAUUAACAAAAAGACAUUAUAAAGUUCAGUGAAAGAAAGAAAACAUUGAACAUAACAGAACAGAAAUUGAAUAUAAUGAAAGAAGAAUAGCAAUUGUGAAAAAAGGAAUGAUUGCCAAGUAUAUAUAAGAAUAGAAAGGAAGGGAUAGAGGGAAAGGGAGGGGAAGAAUAAAAGAGUGAAGGAGACGAAGAAAACCAUUACAAACAUAAGUGAUACAAAGAUUGGUAUUAUAAGUCACUUUCGCUUCUCACAUCAUCUAUUUCUGAAGGCCAAAGAGGAGGACAGUCGGGUUCUAAUGAGUGUUUCUUCAGGUUCACGGUACAGAGGAAGGGUCAAACUACCACCAGGGUCAUAAAGCUACUCCUGGAAAUGCCCACAACUCCUACGAAAGCCUUGUCAAAUAUGUGUUCUUGGGCAGCGAAAUGUCUUGUAAUACUAUCUAAAGAACUAACUCUGCCAUUAUCAUCCUCCCUUUGUAAGCAUAAGUAGCGUUACACAGUUAGCUAUACAGGGUCAGGAAGGACGAAGAGAGGAAGGGAAGACGUAUAUUAGGUACAUUAUAUAUAUAUAGACUCUAUUAUCGUUUUCUGCACGGGGACGAUACUACACACACACAUCACGUUCCCUUGUGGAGUAUAAGUAAUAUGUAUGUAGUAUGAUUAUGUAUAUGUUUCUGUUUUUUCUUCCCCCCUCCUCGGUAGCAGUUCAAUUUCGCUUCGUAAGAUACUAUUUCAAGAACGUUUUAUUUUUGGUGUUUUUUGUUUGUAUCUUCGUGUGGCAUCCAUUCAUUCAUUCAGAGUUUGUUGAGAGAAUCAUUGGUUGUUGUUGCUCUUGUGUUAGGGAAGUUGUUUGUUGUUCUAUUAAGUAAAAAAAGGAAGGAAAAGAAGUAGUUUGUAAAUGAUUCAUACUACUUUGCCGAUGAUGGAAAACAAGGAAAAUCAACAGACAUACAGAACCUAAAAAAAAAAAGAAUUUUAUUGAAUUUUCUUGAUGAUGGAAAAAAAACGAGAAAUUAAAAUGCAUAUACACAGAACCUAAACAAGAAGUGUUACUAAAUUUUGCCGUUGAUGGAAAAAAAAAGAGAAACCAAAAUGCAUACAGAAACUAAAUGAACACAAUACAGUUACAUAAUUUUCAGUACACUUCUGAAUUGGUGUAAAUGAUAAUGACAGACAAACAAUAAUGAUAAAAAGGAAAACACUGCUACCUACAUAUUUCACGGGGACUUACUUAUAUAUCGUACGAAGAAAGGUUCACUUCCAUACCGUACCAUAGUCGAUUGUUAAUACAGCCUUCUACAUUGCCUCCCAGCUUUCAUAGUCAUCCUCAGUGAUCUGUUUUUUCUAUUAUUGUUUUGUUAGUAUUUUCCAUUAGUCUUUUUUUUAACGGUAAUUUACUGCGUGUUAUCAUUGUUUUCUUUCCAGCUAUUUAGUGGUUAUUAUGUGUUAAGUCGUUUUAGCUAGUUGGCCGCUAUUUUUAAGUUCUGAUAAUCUUUUUUUUCUUUUUCGCAUACGUUCGGAGAUGGCUGAGUGUGUGUGUGUGUGUGUGUGUGUGUGCGUGCUUGUGUGUCAUCCGAACGCCUGCCUGGAGGGUCAUAGUUCUUAGUUUUUUUCACAUUUUUCUACUUCAGUUUGUUUUCUAGUAUUUCUUUCAAUUUAGGAAAAGCACUUAGGUAGAGAGAAAAAGAAAGAGAGAUGAAGAGCCAUGUAGUAUAUAUGUAGUUAGUUUUUUUUUUCUUUAUUUCUUUGUGUUUUCAUUUCUAUUAAUACUCAGACGUCAUUGAUUAUUAUUAUUAUUAUUAUUAUUAUUAUUAUUAUUAUUAUUAUUAUUAUUAUUUUGAUUAUUAUUAUUAUUAUUGCAUCUUGUUAGUCAUAUAGAGGCAUUUAGCUGAUUAGGCUGUAGAUCAGUUUACUUUUAUUAUCAUUGUUAUAUUUUUAUUUAUUUAUUCAUCUUUUUUAUAUUCGCAAAGUUCACAAAAAAAAAAACGUUAGUUCAGUUCGUCGCUUUGAAAUGUUUCAUCGAGGCGUUUGUUUCACUCUCUCGUUUCCAUUCGUUUAAUUUUUUCAUCUCAAACAUGUAAGACGUUUCAAUUAUUUUUAUUCAUCUUGUUUUUGUAUGUACCUUUAUUUCGUUCCACUUCUUACCUCAAGUUUUAUUUUUUGGUACAAACAAACAUGCACUUCAGAAUUAGUACUAUGAUAAUUUCCUUCCUUAUGUUUAUUUAUGUUAUCUCAAUUUUGUACUUCCUUUUUUUCUCUUCGUACCUCAAUUUCAUUUUUUGACACAAACUUGCACCCGGAAUUACUGUCCUAUAAUAAUGUCCUUCCUUAUGUCUUGUAUUUUUUUUUUUUUCUUACUUUUCAGCGUGUCCAGUUUAAUAAUUUCCCAGUCCAAACAUUAAAAGAAGCCAUUUGUUAUUAUUUUCUUUUUCCACUUAUUUUUUUUCGUGCCUUUUUGCUUCUUACCUCAAGUUUCAUUUUUCGAGACAAAUGUGCGCUCGGAGUUACUAUGAUGUCCCUCCUUAUGUAUUUUUAUUUCAUAUUAUUUCGCCUUGUCGGGUUUAAAUAAUUUCCCGGUUCACAUAUUUUAAAGAAGCUGUAUGUUAUGGAAGAAAAGCUACCCACUAUAAUUUCCUUCGGUACUUUUUUAUUUAUUCAUAUUUUUACAGCUUGUCGAGUUAAAUAAUUUCCCAGUUCACAUUUUAAAAGAAGCUGUUAUGGAAAAAAGCUACCUACUUUAUUUUCCUUCUCUUUUUAAUCUAUUCAUGUUUUUUAGCUUCUCGGGUUUAAUAAUUUUCCAGUUCAGAUGUUUAAAAGAAGUUGUUCGUUAUUUUCUUUUUCCACACCUCACUGACGCCUUUUAAAAAAAAGCGGUUUGUUAUGGAAAAGAAAAGCUCCAUACUAUAAUUUCCUUCCUUUCUUUUUAAUCUGUUCAUGUUUAUUUUUGAGCUUCUCGAAUGUAAUAAUUUCCCAGUUCACAUGUUUUAAAAGAAGCUGUUUGUUAUGGAAGAAAAACUGCCUUGUAUAAUUUCCUUCCUUUCUUUUUAAUCUAUUCAUGUCUUUUUUUGAGCUUCUCGAGUGUAAUCAUUUCCCAGUUCACAUAUUUCAAUAAGCCGUUUGUUUAUUAUCUUUUUCCACACCUCACUGAUACCGUUUAUUAUUAUGCUGCCGCUGCUGUCCUCCGUCAUACCUCCGCUGAGAAACAAAAAAUAAUAAUAUACCAAACGUUACUUUUUUGUCCAUUGCAGUAUUACCAUAAACUGUACAGUCAUGAU